UAGGGAAUAUUGGUCAAUGGAUGGAAGUCUGAACCAGCCAUGCCGCGUGCAGGAAGAAGGCCUUCUGGGUUGUAAACUGCUUUUGCCGGGGGAUAAAAUUCCCAUGCGUGGGACAUUGAAGGUACCCGGUGAAUAAGCCACGGCUAACUACGUGCCAGCAGCCGCGGUAAUACGGAGGGUGCAAGCGUUGUCCGGAUUUAUUGGGUUUAAAGGGUGCGUAGGCGGCUUUUUAAGUCAGUGGUGAAAUCCAUCAGCUCAACUGAUGAACUGCCAUUGAUACUGGGAAGCUUGAGUACAGACGAGGUAGGCGGAAUUGAAGGUGUAGCGGUGAAAUGCAUAGAUAUCUUCAAGAACACCGAUUGCGAAGGCAGCUUACUAGGCUGUAACUGACGCUGAGGCACGAAAGUGCGGGGAUCAAACAGGAUUAGAUACCCUGGUAGUCCGCACUGUAAACGAUGAUUACUCGAUGUUCGCGAUAUACAGUGNAGCGUCCAAGCGAAAGCGUUAAGUAAUCCACCUGGGGAGUACGAUCGCAAGAUUG
rnacentral:rRNA from 1 species